CUCCAUCCAGGCAACAAGAAGCAAUGGACUGCCUUCAAGUCGAUCCUGACUUAUGGCGACCCUAUGAAUAGGGUGUUCACGCUAGAGGGAGCCCCCAGCUGAUGAAGCGUCAAGGUCCCAGCUGACAAAGCAUCAAGAAGAGGCCGGAGACAUACAAAGAGCCCUGACAAAUUGGACCAAAGGCCUAUAACACAGAGCUUGGCAGUAACUACUUGAAGGAGGCGGCAGCAGAAUGGAGAGUUCUAGGUCCAGCAUUCUGUUUCUGCAGCGGCCAACCAGAUGCCUCAGUGAAGCUCACAAGCAGGGCAUGAAUCGAUAGCCCUCUCGCACAAGAGAGGGAAAAGCCCCAUCCCUCUUGAGGGGCUUCCUGGCAGUCGGGUCAUCAGAGGAGAGGCAGGGAGGUGCCAAAAUCUGACACGACUGCAGACUUUGGUUCUCAUGUGUUCAUUUCAACCCUACC